CUCAGGUCAGUUCCUGCUUGCGUCACUUGGGCCCUGGCCAGGUUCCUGGGAUUCAUUCUAGAGUCAUAGAAUCCACUGUAUUUUAUUCUUACUCCUUUGUUCUUUUAUGUAACUGUGCUGAAAACACUAGAUACUGUGUUGUGUUAUUUUAACUCAAAACAGCUCCUCUUUCUCUGUACCAUAAAGAAAUCUUUUCCGUAGAGCUAACUUGGAAAUGUUCUAGUAAGCCGGCAUAAGCGUGACACAAGUAACAUUGCCAUUACACUUGGGAUUAUCUCAGAGAAUGUUCUAUUCUUCGUUAUGUCUACAGGAGAAGGCUCAGCAGGGCUCCAGUGCUGUGCUUGCCUUGACCUACAUGGCCAGAGGUCACCCUGACACCCAUAGGGAGCGUGUGAUACCUCUGUAAGAUCUCCUCAACACCUUGCUCCCAUGAGCCUCUCCUGAAGACUAAGCUCGUCACUCUUCGUGGCAUCUGGGUGGGGAAACUGAGGCGUGGAAUGAGGGACCCCAAGAUGAAAAGCUCCCCAGGGCCCACUCCCAACCCUGCUCUCCCCCAGCAAAGAAGGUGACCAGAAAGGGGUUGGCAGACAAACAUCCUCUAUGGCUCUCCAGCUGGUUAUGAAAUAUGACAGGCCCCGAAGCUCGGCUUUACCAGGAAAUCUUUGCAUCAGAAAAACUGGUCUAAACUGAAGGCCCUGGAGCUUAAUGAAUGCUUCUGGAAUUCCAGACUCCCUCUGGGGAAGGCUUCCGUAACCCAUUUUAUAGCAGUCUUUUUAAGUGGAAGGAAAUAAUUUUUCACUCACCUUCUUUCUUCCAACUACUGCUCAGCUUUGGGGACAUACUUCAGUUCGCUUUUAAUGUUCUGGAUCUCUGAUAGGUUGACCGCAGGUCCUGGAAGUUUCUUCGCUCCUGGCAUUGGCUUCUUCUCCUCAUCCGAGGUGGGAGGAGCACCCUGAAGAGAAAGAAAAGUAAGAAGGGAUGGGCUCUCUGAAAAAAAAAAGGCAUUUGGGCUCUCUGUCACUUGUUCCUGCGCUGUUGAGACACCCUCGGAGCUUCCAGAAGAUCUGAAGUUUGUAGACGAAUAUGAAAUAAAGUUAGAAGAAGAAAACAAGUCAUCUCCAUGUGACUUAGAAAACACAGGAGUACUAUUCAAUGCCUGAAAACUAACAAACAUUAUGACUAGUUAGGAUUUGUGUUUCCAGGAGAAGCACCUUACGAGAGCGAAUUUAAUUUCGUAUCUUAGGAUCCUAAUAUGCCUGCACAGCAGAGAUUUGUAGAAUGUUAGUACACAGUUGGCUCUAACAAUGACUUAGUCCAGAAGCUUAAAAAUAUUUUUCUUUGGGGUGCAGUAGCUGCCAGCCUUUGUUCCAAUAACAUCUCUGGGAAGCAUAAACAAACUAGUAUUUAUAUAAGCAAAACCUUCUUGAAUGUGGGUGGGAUGAGGUGGAGUCACAGAGGAGGCCCAGUUCUCCCUCCCAGCUUUAGGAGCUAUUUGAAAUUUCCUAUUAUUUAAUGUUUUUAUAUUGUUGCAGCUUUAGGGCGAGACCACAUCCUAUAUGUUUUUUUUUUUUUUUGUGGCUCCUAUAAUGCCUGGUACAGACAUGCACACUUGCCCAUUAUUGUUUAGCUGAUUAAUCCCAAGAAUGUACCAUAAUGGCAAAUAUAUGCCUGUGUACAUACGCCAAACAUACAUAUUAACAGUGACUGUAACAAUGAGAUCAGUGGCUGUAUGUGGCUCCUACAACCCCCAAGUCAUUACUAUAGAAAAAAGUUGCUUAUGAGCUCAUUGUUCCUAUGGUAGAGGUGGGGAGCAUAUUCUCUGGCCCUAGAAGAGAGAUGUUGGAGGAACAUUUGAUCACCGUGGCAGCCACAGGAGCACGCCUCUCCGAUCAGUUUUCUCCCGGCAGGGUAAUUAGAUAACUGGCCCCAGCUGCUUCGCCCUACAAGCCGCCCAUCACCACACUGAGAUCACACUUCCCACGGCUGCUCUGCUCGUGCCCAAUGACUGAGUGUCACAGGAUCCUGAAGCCAGCCUGUUCCCGGGAGACAAGAGACUCUUGGGAAGGAACUUCAGCUCGAGAAUUUUCCUUAGAACAGCAGUGAGGUCUAAGAGGUUUUGCCCCCAUCCGCUGUCCCACUCUUCUUCACCCACGUCACAUCCAACCACCCUCCCAUUCUUCCUUACAAGUGGUUUUGCCAAUAAAUAUCUUGUAUGUCCAAACCCAUCGUUCUGUGGGCUUCUUGGAGGACCCAAACUAACACAGUCAAGAUGUGGGACUGGCAGGGCUUCAUCUGUUUGGCCAACAACUGAGUAAACCAAUACAGUUUCAGGGAAAAGGAGUAAGAAACCACACCUUUGCCUGUGGUUCAAGCCCUAUGCCCAUACUUGUUGCCAGCCUAACCAGGCAGCCCUGUGACCUGGGUAUUCAAGCUAAUGCUGGGCUUUGCCUCCAUCUGGCUCCUACAUCUAGUUCUCAAAAUGUCUCGAACCUACAGGGAAAGGGAAGAAACUGUUCAAGAGUCCCAAUCUCUAACCAAUUAUUUGGUAGUCAUGUCCUUUAUAGAAUUGCCUGUUUGAGGGGUGAGUAGAAAUAUAAAAUAUUAACGUGCUGUUCUAAGGACUAAUGGUUUCUCCUGUAGUCAUUUUCUUUGAAUGUUGGCACAACACUGAUGAAAGAGCUAAUGUGUCACCCACACAAAAUGUGAUUCAGUGUAGAUUCAGUGUAGACUGUACCUGUUGUAAAUAUCUGGAAAAUAAUGUUUCCUCAGGCCAACGUACAGAGCCAUAGGAUUGGCUUCCUUUUAUCAAGGAUACACAUUUAUCAUUUAUAAAUGCAGAUUUAGAAGCAAUAAUUAAAACUAUUAAACAUCCACUUGGAGCACCAGGUAUUCAAAAGUGUUCUUUGCUAGGCUUUUGGAAAGAGGUUUUAAACAAGGCUAUAAAUUGGUUUUUUUUUUAAAUAUGUGUAGCACUGAAAUGAAAAAUGUUUCCUCACUUAUGAAUGUUCCCAUGGUUGUUAGGUGGGUAGAGCUUAAUAAAGAAGCAUGAAGAAGAAAAA